AAGCCAGGGCUGUGAAAUGGUUGAGGGUUCUGUUGAAUUCUGGAAAUGAGAUAGAGGAAUUUCCUGAAUCCACAUUUUAUAUUUUCUGUUUUCAGACUGGAUCUCACUAUAUAGUCCUGGCUGUCCUGAGACUAUCUAUGCAGAGCACGCAGAUCUCAAACGCAUAGAGAUCUACCAUGUACCCCUGUGUCGUGAAUGUUGCAUCACAGAUGCACACUGCCAUGCCUGGCUUCAACAGCUGUAUGGCGUCAAUGGACUGAACUGAAGGUACUUUCAUCCAUGAUGGACUAGGAACAGGGGGCAAAGUCCACAUCUAACCUUCAGAAUAGAAGUCUAUGUCCAGCAUGAACAGACACCUGGAGAAUCUCCAGUGAAGUCGCGGCAGAAGUCAUAUGACUUCAUCCUGACCAACCAGCAGAGUCCAGAUGAGUUUCCUGGUGUGAUUGAUUGAGUUCUUUCCAUGUGGGCCAUGAGAACAAGGCUGAGGACUCAAGUGAGGAUCCCAGAGCUGCCGAUACUGAACAACUUGGACUCUGCAGCACACGCUGGACUCUCCGUGAG